UACAAUAUUGAUUGGCUGUAGCUGAACGGUCUCUUGGUUGGCCGAAUAGAAACCUUGAUACAGGGGAGUCUGGAUGAUGGGAAGACAGGAUCAAAUGAUGUAAACAACAUUCAAAAAUUUCAAAACAUCUUUGAUUUACUCUAGAAAACGUUCAUUGUGAUUCCAUGGCCAUGCUGCUUAAUUUUUUCAAAGGAUCAAAAGUAUGAGAGACUUAAAAACACGUGGAGCUAAGAAAAGGGACUGCCCUUUAAGAUGAAGAAAUGGUGGCCCAAGCAUCUAUAGCACAAAGAAACUUGGGCCCUUCAGCAAGCCUGUGUCAAAAUUUAGUGUUUACCCUACUAAAUCUACAUUUCCUUACUCAUCCUGAAACCAACCAAAAAAGCACUUUAUGAACAAUCUAAGGAAGUAAAUAAUUAAAAUGUUUCUAGAUCUA